CAGCGGUUUUCUGUUUGAAAGGUUGGAACUGUGGAAUUGAAGUUUGAGGUUUACUGUUGUGGAAAGUAGUCAGGAAGAAACCUAAGGGCAAGGAUGGAUAUGCUAGGAUGUUAAACAUGGCUCAAGCAUUUUGAAGCAUAUGCAGGCUUACUCAAAUGACUUGUCUGAUUUAGGGUUUAGGGUAAAUGGCAUCUUCAUCAGCAAUGUUAUUGGUCUUGGCAACUAUCUUGUUUGGAUUGAUCUUGAGAUUUUCGUAAAUGCCCGAGUCUUGAGAUCGUAUCGUUUAUCUUGAUGACUGUUAGGGAAGUCCUUGUUUUAGUUCGAGAUCUGGGAUUGCGCAGGGUUUUUGUUUUUGUUAUUUUUAUGGAUAUGAAUACGUUGAUGCUUUCAUUUCGUUGUGUGCUCUACUUAAGGAUUUGUUGAAAUUCUUGCAGGUGGUAGUGAAAAAUGUACCGGAGCUGAACUACUGAUGCUGGUGCAAGGAAUAAAAAUUCAAGGCGAGGCGUGCGUGGGAGUUCGACUAGCAGGUCGGUUUGCUGCAGUGAAUCGUGACCUUUUGAUCACUAGUACCUUGGUUUGUGUUCGAAUAGAUUGGUAAUUGUUUCUUUUCCUCGUUUAGCUUGGGAAUUAAGCUAGCAAAGUUGGCCUAUUUAGCAAGUUUCAGAACUAGGGAGCUGGACAUUUUGUUGCAGAAUUCUGACUUGCAACGAACGAUUUUCAAUGACAAGCAUUUAGUGUUGAAGGGAAUCGUUCAUGGUUAUCAGUAAGACGUUUGAUAUAUGGAAAGAUUCUUUAUGGUUGGAUCUAUUUUCCAAUACAAUUUUUACUACCAUUAGUUCCUUCAGUGUUGCCCUCCGAUCUGGUUCCUUGUCUUUUAGUUUCUAUGGUGCUGGGGAUCUUGUUCACUGCCAAGAGGGGCAUCAGAUGUAGACAAGGCUACUGACUAAGAUGUAACUGACAGCAGUACUUGCUCGUCACUGCUCGACUAUUGCGGGUUUCCAGUGUGUUUCCAUGUUCGUGAACGAGUACAUUUGUAAUGUCCCUCAGCUAUCUUCAGGAAUCAUCUCCCUUCUAACAAAUUUGAGCUUCGCCAGCCAUCCUUUUUUUAGUUUGUACAG
rnacentral:lncRNA from 1 species